GUGUGAAGAAGGCCUUCGGGUUGUAAAGCACUUUCAGUAGGGAGGAAGGUAGUGUAGUUAACACCUGCAUUAUUUGACGUUACCUACAGAAGAAGCACCGGCUAACUCCGUGCCAGCAGCCGCGGUAAUACGGAGGGUGCGAGCGUUAAUCGGAAUUACUGGGCGUAAAGCGCAUGCAGGCGGCCUGUUAAGUCAGAUGUGAAAGCCCGGGGCUUAACCUCGGAAUUGCAUUUGAAACUGGCAGGCUAGAGUCUUGUAGAGGGGGUAGAAUUUCAGGUGUAGCGGUGAAAUGCGUAGAGAUCUGAAGGAAUACCAGUGGCGAAGGCGGCCCCCCUGGACAAAGACUGACGCUCAGAUGCGAAAGCGUGGGGAGCCAAACAGGAUUAGAUACCCCUGGUAG
rnacentral:rRNA from 1 species